UGUAAAUAUAUCAAAUGGCUCAAUAAAUAUGUCGGUGGAGAGGUUAGAACUCACGAAACCGUUUCCUUGAAGAGUGACGUCAGAUGCAAGGUUUUACGAUUUUAACCCUAAGCUAAAAACCACAAUAAACAUUAAGUCCCCUGCUUAGAUCAGAACAAUGACAUUGUUGCGGGGUAUGCCUAAGAUGGUAACGGACAAGGAUAAAAUCGAAACGACAAGUCAUGAAGAGAUUGUCAGGAAGAUUUGGCCAACCUUUGCCGGGAGGCCCGAGGAAUUUAUGACCCUUGCAUUGGUGUCUUUGCAUAAAUUCGGCUAGGCCAUGGGGUGUUGGCAUCAGCGUUGCAUCUUUGGGUUGCUGAUUGGCAGAGGUGGCACUGCAACCUGGUCCGUGGAAGGGGCACUGGCUGGCUCAUAAAGGUAGAUGGCGUUGGCUAUGGAGCGGACUGCUGGCGCUGUCCAUGGGGCGGACUGAUGGCAUUGGUCAUGGAGCGGACUGAUGGCUGGGACGCGGACUGAUGGCAUUGUAUUGGGACGCAGACUGUUGGCGUCGGCUUUGGGUUGGUAGAGAUGGCGCUGCUUUGAAAGGCUAAGAUGGCGUCGUUGGCUUGGUGAAGAUGACGCUGCUUUGAACGGCUAAGAUGGCGCCGUUAGCUUGGUUUGGCCGUGGCACUGCUUGCUUGGCAUGAAGCCGUUAGAGCUUGGCUUGGACGUGCGCUAUCUUGUCUUGGUCGUGGCGUUGUCUUGGCACGCUUGGGACACGGAACUGCUGGCUCGGCUUGGGACACGGAUUUGUUGGUUUGGAUUGGCCGGGCGCGGGUCCGUUUACCUCUUUCCAUGCAUGCCCAAAAAUAAGAAACCUUCCCCUAUUCGAACUCCAAAAGAUGACAUGCCUAUAAAAGGCGUCACCCCUCCUCUUUACCUCGUAUUAUUGGUUUUAUUUCCACAUCUUGGUGCUAGUGGCAGAGUGGUAGCAAUAAAGCAGACGAGCAUAUUCCAGUUAUUUUGAAGGCAAAAGCAACAUAAUAAAAUUAUGUUAGUAUGUCACCUGAAGAUAUUCCCACCGCCAUGUCGAAAAAUGUUAGCAACUACAGACCCAACAUGAGUGACGAAUUUUUUACAAGGUCCGCCACAGUUAAGAGAAACCAUCCCAAAUAUGUGGCUAUCCUUCUGGGUGGUUCAGAAAAUGAAGGAGACGCCCCAUCGGUUCGGCCAGGACGCGUGAUACAAUUUUGUCUUCCGAAAAAUGAGUAUCUUGCUUCUCCUAUUGACUUCAGGGCUUGUCAGAGUCCAUUGCGCUCUUUUGAGGAGUGGAUGCGGUUCAUGAUAAGUCAAGACCGCGUAAGAGACAGUCUGACUAGGGCGCAAAUCCUCGAUGCAAUCAUGGCUUCUGCAACACUUCAAAUCAGGAAGAAAAUCGUGGGUUUGGUCGCUUUCAUCUCCAGAUGGUGUCCGAACACUCAUACGUCCAUAUGCAGGUGGAGCGAAAUGACUAUUUCCUUAGAGAGUGUAGCUGUCCUGUUGAAUCUUCCAAUAACAGGGAAUCUUGAUAUCACCUUGUCUGAUGAAGAAGAAGAAAUGCGCGUCACUCUUGUUGCUAAGUCGACAGGGUUUGUUCGGAAAGAUUAUGAAACAAAGUGCUUCUACAGUUGGUGGGUGUCUGAAUGGUUCUCGAAAGACUCGGUGCUGGAUCAAAUGAAAAAUACACUCCACGUUGCGUCAUUUAUGGAUCUGUGGUUAUCUAGAGAUAUUCUUGAUGACGGUUCCGGCAAGAAAGAGAUAAGACAUGAUCUCAUCAAACUGGCUAUCAAAUUGGCGAAAGGUGUUGUCCUCCAUAUCGGUGGUUUGUUUCUUGGAUCUUUGUAUACCCAUAUGGAUCACUUGGGCGCGGAUAUAUGCUUCUAAAGGUUACAUGAAAGUAGACUCGUGUGUCGACAUUACCUUCCUCCAAACGUAGUUGUGGGAGCAUUUCAAAAGUUAUGCUCCCAAGCCGUUGGCUUCACUUCCUGAAUCCUAUGGUGGUUCCAGGAUACUCCGCUGGUUAAACAAGCAUCCUAAAUUUGGAUCAAAUCUCGUCGACAUACUUGAUAAUGCAUAUGCAGUUAGCUUUCUUCAUUGGGCUCCGGUCCAUUCGUCCAUAGUUCAGCCGAACACUUUCGCUGCUGCCCCAAAUAUGACUUUGCUUUAUGCCGGAGAGAAUAUUAGCGUUGGAAAAAUCAUAUUCAUGCGAAGCUGUACACCUGGACACGUGCCAUCUUUCUUCAGGGGAUCUUAUGAGGCAGUUCCUUAUAAUAUUGACAGGGCUGCUCGGCAUAUGGGUUUUGACCAAGGAGUCCCAUUUCUUCGUCAGUCGGCGGCUCCGAAAGAAUUGUUGUCAGCUUUUUUUUAUGCCAGUUUUCUUGCGCCGGGUAAAAAUCUCCCUUUCCUGCUCUCAGAACGAAGUCCAUCGACGAUCUCCAAAUACAAUGUGUUCUGGAAGGAUGAGUUUCUCGCCCUCCAUGGGUUUGUAAAUGACGUGAUGAAACAUCCCUGUGGCAAGCCUUCCUCUACAUUUUAGCGGAACAUCCAUUGUUGAGGGAGUUUCCUACGGCUAAGAGGAAAUCUCCCAGCCCGGAUGUGGACAGUCCCCAGAAAAAAGAGCGAAGGUCUAAAAAUCGUGCGAGUGGUUUUCAGUCGGAUUCGACGGCUCUUGUGACUUUUAGUUCUUCCAAUAUGCGAGGUCUCAACAAGAUAAACGCCUUUACCAUACUUGCAAGUGGCCAAAAGGUGAUGCCUUCUGAAGAAAAGUCCGGCGAUACUGAGCCUCUCGGUGAUGGGAUUCCGGAAGAACCCUAUAUGUGAUAAUCGCAAUCGCACGGUGUCUAACUAGUAGACAGAAGCAAGUACGGGUCGAACCCAAAGGAAGCGGUGGAAAUACUCUAAUCAAUAUCUC